AGAACCCUGCUCACUCCCCAGAUCUACCCCGACUUCAACACCUUGAUGAACAUGGCCAUCCUGACCGAGAGGGCCAAGGCAGAAGAGCGGAGGGACAACAAGCGUCGGUUCCUGGAGAGCAAGGCACACCAGCAGGACCGGUUCCAGAAGCCAAGGAGCUUCGGUCACCCCUUGCCCAGAUCCCAAGCUCCCAUGCAUUAUCGGACCCAAUCCCAAGCAUCUGGCUCACAUCAGACUGCUGUCCCAUUCAGGAGCCA
rnacentral:lncRNA from 1 species